rfam:Phaseolus vulgaris cultivar G19833 chromosome 2, whole genome shotgun sequence.
GUCUCUGAUGAUGAUCAUAAAAUAUACUUUCUGAGUUGUCCAUGAGGAAAGUAAAUGGAGACCUGAACUGAAGAGGC